UAGUAUCAGUAUUGAAUGCUUUUACGAACGUCAACCACAUGACCAUGGCGCGUUAGUGCUUCUCAAGACGUUGAAGUGAGAGGACGCACUUCGUUUCUUGGAAUUAAUUAGUUUAUUUUUCUACUUUGUGAGUGAUAUAAACAACCUAUAGACGUUCUAUAUACGUUAAUAAAUAUCUAGAAACAACAGACGGAAAGAUACAGAAUAGUUUGGUUCAAGAAAUGAGUAAACUUGACAUUUAGCGAAAGUCAACAGACAGAAAACGUGAGUCUACGAAGAAGAAAACGCCAUGACGUUGGUGGACUGAGGCGUCUGAAGGCUCCGAAGACUCCCUGAAGGCUCCUGAAGACUCGUGAAGAUUCCUGAAGACUCGUGAAGAUUCCUGAAGACUCGUGAAGAUUCCUGAAGACUCGUGAAGAUUCCUGAAGACUCGUGAAGAUUCCUGAAGACUCGUGAAGAUUCCUGAAGACUCGUGAAGAUUCCUGAAGACUCGUGAAGAUUCCUGAAGACUCAUGAAGAUUCCUGAAGACUCGUGAAGAUUUAGUUAGCUGGUCGUCAAAAUGCUGGCAAACCGUGAGUGAGCAGCCGACGUGCCCGAGCCCAGACAACGUUAGUGUUGACCUGAUAGUCGUGGGAGAGAGAGUUUGUUGUGUCCUGUGACCUAAACGUGGAUUAUCUUCUUAACAGCCGCCCAGAGGAGCUUCUAUCUUAAGUUACAUAAGUGAGGAAUUAUUUAACCAGGUUUGGA